AAUCAAAUCUUUCAUACAUAACACCUUAAUCUUCCUUCCUCUGCCCAUUGCAAGAAAACAAAACAAGACUCUUAAAACGCAUCAAUGGCGAAUGAUAUGAGGUUUAUUCAAACAUGGGGAGAGGUCACACCUUCACUAUCUCAUCGGAUUCAGCAGAGACGAUUAUCGAGGAGCAUCUCGCAGCCUAAAUUGGAAACGAUUUUCGAAGAAGGAUGUGAUAGUUUUGCAGUCAAUGCGCCUAAACGGAUUGUGAUAUUUCUUCCCCUUCUACUCUCGAUGAUUUUGUACUUUGUCUUGUACAAGACUAUCAAAUACUAUUGAUUGCUUCUUCAAUUUGUAAUAUGGAUG